rnacentral:lncRNA from 1 species
UUCCUAGUUUUAUUGUCUGAAUUCUUUUUUUUUUCCUAAAAGUUCAUUAUGUUAUAAAUAUGUGAGUUGGGUAGUGUAUUUUUGUUUAUUUUAAUUUGCUUUUGAUUUGUUCAAUUUGUUACAAAUUUGUAUACGUGGUUUUUGUAACAUGUAGUUUCGGAUUUCAAUCUUAGGAACAUGUUGUUCAAAACAAAAUGGAAAUUAAGUGCUGUAAAAAAAAUUAUUGUC